UACACACCGCCCGUCACGCCAUGGGAGUUGGUUCUACCCGAAGACGGUGCGCUAACCGCAAGGAGGCAGCCGGCCACGGUAGAAUCAAUGACUGGGGCG
rnacentral:rRNA from 1 species